AAAAAACGCCUCCAAAACCAAAUAAAUUAAAAAAUUCUUCAGAAGAUCAAUUUAAGGAACUCAUUUUAUACAAUCUUUUAGUAUUGAAACACAGCAUUAGAAACAUCAAUGAAAAAUUGACAUUGGUUGUCGAAAGGCAGAUUUCACACAAUUAUAAUGUUGAAGAAUCUAAUUAUCUUACAUUAGAAUAUUCUGAUUUGGACUGCUUAUUACCAAUUGAUGAAGAAGAUACAUUCGACAAUAUAGAAGAACAGAUAAGAAAUACCAUGCAUCAUUGACUAAACAGUUAGCUGGACUUGGCGGAAAAAGUAUCAAAGUCAUGGUCAAAAGAAUCAUGGGAUAUUUGUUCACUGACAACAUCUUAGCCUUAUAUUCUUUUAAUGGCAGAGCAAAUAAAAAAAAAAAUAUUUUGCAAAUCUAUCAAUUUCAAAAGUUAUAUUCAAUGCUGUUAAACCAAUUAAACGAUUGAAUAAUGAAUCAUCGACCGAUGAAAUUGAAAAAUACAUUAAGUAUUAUCUCAUUCAAGCACCAUUCAACAUAAAAAGAAAAAAGAAAUGUUUCAUUGAAUAUGAAUAUCAUUUAAUUUUGUAAUUAUUAUGUACAAUAUAAUAUAGCUAGGCUAGGUUUGCCUUUUAGUUAUAUCAUAUUUCAACUAUAUAAUAUAUACUAUUAUAUUAUAUUCUAAAUUAAUGUAUAUUUACAUUAUGUUUUUACUAUUAUUAUAUUGUUAUAGGGCCUAACAAUAUA